GCGGGUCGCGUGGGGGUCACCCGGCCGCUGCUGCGGUCCGGACGGCAGUUGGUCCAGUAGUUUCGGAUGCCCGGGCUAGGCUCGGCGGAGAGCGAGUCGGCGUGAAUGAGAGCAAACCAACAGGGCUGUGCGUGGCGCGUAAAGAAGUGUUGAAGAAGAGAGAGACAGAAGAAAAUCACCAUAAAAAGUCAGACACGAGAGCUUAGAAGUCAAUUAAGACAGGGCUUGGAAGGGG
rnacentral:lncRNA from 1 species